GUUACCGCAUACUGGGGAUGGAACCCUCUGCCAGUUGAGCUACGUACAUAGACUACCAAUACAGAGACUUAUGUAGACUACCAAGACAGGCUUCACAGAAAUAAGGUGUUGGUGCUAAAGAAGUACAAGUCAUCUGGCGUUUAUGAAUCCGUUUUUGUCAUUUCUAAAAACGGUUAUUCGUUAUUGUGUGGGUGGGGUGGGUGUGUAUGGCACAGUGCCAUACACUGUGUCAGAGGACACUGUGGAGCCAGUGCUCGCUCACUUGCUCAUGCUCACUUGUUCUCUGUCUCUCUCCCUCUCCCUUCCCCCACCUCCCUCUCCCUCUGUCUCCAUCUCUGUCUCUGUCUCCCUCUCUCUCUGUCUCCCUCUCCCUCUCUAUCUCCCUCUCCCUCUCUCUGUGUGUCUCCCUCUCCCUCUCUCUCUGUCUCCAUCUCUCUGUCUCUGUCUCCCUCUCUCUCUCUGUCUCCCUCUCCCUCUCCCUCUCUGUCUCCAUCUCUCUGUCUCUCUGUCUCCCUCUCCCUCUCUCUCUGUCUCCCUCUCCCUCUCCCUCUCUCUCUGUCUCCCUCUCCCUCUCUCUCUCUCUGUCUCCGUCUCUCUGUCUCUCAUUCCUGCCUUUAUGUAUGUUCCAGGAACUGAACAGGUCACCAGGCUUGUGCGGGAAGCCCCUUUACCCACUGAGCCAUCCUGCUGACCAGAAUCUACUGGGUUUUUUUUGUUUGUUUGUUUUUGUUUUUGUUUUUUUUGUUUUUUUUUAAGUAAGCUUAUUCUAGUCGUAUAAAUUUAGUUCAUGAAGCAGCAGAUAAAGAGACCGGUUGUCAGAUGACCAGACGCAGAAAUUUUUCCACCCAUAACGUCAAAACAGAACAAGCUAAACUUAAUCGGCUGGGUAUGGAAUACACACUUGCACUCCCAGCACUCAGGAGGUGGAGGCAGGAGGAUCAGAAAUUCAAGACCAUUCUUGGUUUGAGGCCAGCCUAAGCUACACAUUAUCCUGUCUCCAAAAAAAAAAAAAAAAAAAAAAAAAAAAAAAAAAAAAAAAAGUGUGCUAUUUAUUUUGUUAGUUGAGGCCUAAUGGAGGUCUGUAUGGUCUAACUUCUGUGAAAGAAAACCACAGAAGGGGUUGGGGAUUUAGCUCAGUGGUAGAGCACUUGCCUAGCAAGCGUGAGGCCCUGGGUUCGGUCCCCAGCUCCGAAAAAAAAGAAAAAGAAAAGAAAAGAAAACCACAGGAGCCUGGCUUAUCUUGAACUCUCUGCCUCUGGAGUGGUAGGCUCACAGACCUGCACCAUCAGGCUGGGACACUUAGUAAUUAAAACAACCCUCCUUAUCUAACUCAGAUGGGCACAUGGCUGGGACUCGUCUUCCAGUCUCCUGGGCUGUCAACUGUGUGCUUCCCCUCACUGCCAGAUAGCCUGAGGCUUGAACCAGUCAGCCGGCUGCCUGUAACCAGCUUCUUCUCUAGCUUGAGAAUUGGCCUUCCUAGAGUCACUCAGGACUCAAGCAUCUUCUCCUCUUCAUCUUUUCCCAGACGACCUGCCAACAUCAACUUGUCUUCUUCCCCUCUGCUUAUUCUGGGAUAAGGUCACAACGCUGUAGCCUAGGCUGGCCUUGAACUCUAUUAGUGGAAUGUUCUAGAACCUGAGCAGACACUUGGUCUAAGGCAGCCAGAACAAGGCCCUGGGGGUCAUCACCAGUUCCUUCUCUGUCACCUGGCCAAGGAGACCCACAAGCAUUUGCCAAAGGAAAAGGCCCUGUGGCUUGAUGCCUUCCUCCCACAUUAUAGUGAGAAUUCUGGAAUGUUGAUUACUGUUUUUUAAAAAAAACACAGAAAUAUUACAAGAACAUGUUUCUGUUUUAAUCCCAGAUGUGUGGAUAUAGGGCUUCCUCAGACUGUCCUCAGCAGCCUUGUGCUCUAGCAGAGGUGUGGUUCUGCCAGCUGCAGACAGUUUCUGCAGUUGUGUGACAUUUGGAAUUCUGGGAAUUUACAGAGGGUGUGUAAAUGCUAGGGCCCCCACGAGGUCUUCAAGGGGGUUGGUCACAGUUUGUUAGUAACUGUGCUCAAAGGAGAAACAAGAAGGGAAAACUUAGAUUCACAGAUCUUUCUCUGUGUCUCUCUGUGUCUGUCUCUGUCUCUAUCUCUCUGUCUCUCUGUCUCUGUCUCUCUCUCCUUCCCCUCUUAUCUAGUGAUUGGGGAUGAAACUGGGGGAGAUAAAUAUGGGGAGAAAAACCCACAAAGUAGCAAAGACCAGCUAUACCACAUCUCCACAAGCUUGACUGCAGAACGGGAACAAACCCCACAUGUGUAUGAGUGGGGGUGCGUGCCUGUAAUGUCGACACGUGUGCACAACACACCCCAAGGGCACGCUUGUAGCCCCUUUACUUGCUUGCCACCCAAGGAGCGAGGGUGACUCCUGCAGAGAAUGGGGAAGGACUGGCAGGUGGGUCAGGACACCUCCACGACUUUCUCCAGAGAGUCCCUUUGAUUAUAACGGGGUCUUCCACAGAGAAACCAUACCCUGCAUCACACCUCAAAGCGUUGGAGAGCGGGUUUCUGCUUUGUGAGGGAAAAGUCAUAGGGCUCUGCCACUCCGCUGAGCAGUGGGACACUUGCCCAUCCCUGGUCAGGAUGGAGGCUUGGGGACAGGGUGGAAACAGGGCCACAGCAGGUGCUUGGGACAGUGGGCUAGACUCGGAGGCCUCUGUGAUCUGGGUCUGGGCGGAUUGGAUGAGGAAGGGCAUGGGAGGGUGGCUCUCACUUCCUGCUUUCUGGCCUCCUGCUGCCAGGAUGACACUAAUCUAAGAACCUCCCUGGCCAGGGCACAGUGGCCUGGGACAGUCCUGCAAGCAGUUCACCAUGGCCCAGAUAUUCCCUAGCACCUCUGAAGCAGGAGGGUGCUAGGCGUGCAGGCUGUGCAGAUGGGCAAGACGUAAUGCAUAUGGCCCUGUGUGGUGGUGGUGGUGGGGAGCUCAGGGAAUGCUGGGGAGCCUGAACCAGAGAGUAAACCCCCAAACCUGGCUCCGCCACACCACAUGGGCAGAGUCUCUAAGACUAACCCACCCUGUUGGACAAGCAUCUAUCACAUCGUCACAGGCACUAACACCCACCUAACACACUUCCCCGCUCAGGCACUUCACGGCAGGAUGGCCUCUCUGUAAGCUGAGGUCCAGAAGCCAUCACCCGGAAUAGCACAAGCCAUGCACUUGCUCAGAGGGUUCCAUUUCAACCUCAGGACUGACCGUUCCAAGGACAGUCUUAGUGUGACCAUCUCUUCAUGAACGAGAGAUGUGCUGGCCGGGCGCUGGAUUCACGUUCAUCUGAUCUGACGCCAGGGGCCAGGCUCUCCCCACACUCUACACCCUCUGACCUCACUACGAUCUUCCCCGCCCUGCACCAAUGGCCACACCACACUUCUUCUGUCUAUAUCCCUUGCCAGAGAGGCCUGGUCCCUCAUCCCAGUGUUGACUCCUCCCCUCCCCAGAUCCCAUUUUUUUAAAUUUGUGUUGGUGACCUAACUGAAUACAGGUUAGUUACGAAAACCAAAGACUCUAAAUUCUUUUCCUAUAGCCAUUCCCCAGCACACGUAACUUUGGACUGUACUGUCAGAGCGUUCGAUUUUAAACAUUGAUGGCCGAGUUGCUAACUUGGGUUUCUUAAACUUAAAAAAGAAAAAAAAAAAAAGAAAAAAAAAAAGAGCACUAAGUCAAUUCUGGUCUAGGAUUAGGACAGGAAUUUUCAACCGUUUGAGAGGAGGCUAAACUUGCUCCUGCCACUGUGCACUAAGUGUUUAUGCAAAGCAGCGUCCUCCGUGUUGACGAUCAACUCCAAAUAUUGAUCAGUUCUCAGAAACAGAGUCCCUGCAUCCGUCAGUGUCAAGUACUCAGCCAAGAUUUGAUCCUGCAUGUUAAAGCAAACAAUCCCGUCCGUCUUACUCAGGAUGCAAAUCUGUCUCCAUCUUUAAUAAAUGGUAAAAUUAUAUAUAUAUAUACUAGUAGAUAGAUAGAUAGAUAGAUAGAUAGAUAGAUAGAUAGAUAGAUAGAUAGAUAGAUAGAUAUCUCAAAGGAUUGUUUUAAAAUAAAUUUCUUGGGCCACCACGAUGACCCAGUGGUGAAGCCCUUGCCUUCAGAUCUGACAGCCUGAGUUUGAUGCUCAUGACCCACAUGUUGGAAAGUGAGAACUGACUCCUGUAAAUCGUCCUCUGACUACCACAUGUUCACGUGUAUACACACACACAGUAAACAAAUGUUUAAAAAGGUUGUAAAGAAGGGGUUGUUAGGGGGCUGAAAAGAUGCCUCAGGGGUUAAAAGCACCGACUGCUCUUCCAGAGAUCCUGAGUUCAAAUCCCAGCAACCACAUGGUAGCUCACAACCAUCUGUAUAUGGGAUCUGAUGCCCUCUUCUGGUGUGUCUGAAGACAGCUACAGUGUACUUAUAAAUAAAAUAAAUAAAUCGUAAGACUUUAAAAAAAAAAAAAGAAGAAGAAGAAGGGUUUGUAAGUAGAAAGAGUUUGAGAAGGCCUGCCCUCGAUCACCCAGAUGCCUGAACAGAUCCAGCCCUCUCUAGCUGAGCGAUGUCUCCCUGUGCUCUAAUGUCUCCUACCACAGUGGGACAAUAGGAACUCACUGCAAGGACUACAAACUCUGGACCUAAGGCACUAGGCACAUAGGAGAAUGUGGGAAACUGAGGUUUCAGAAGGUAAGGCUCGGGCUAGAACAAGCACAAUGCCUACCUGACUACUCAGGUGCCCACUAAACACUGAGCCCAACUGAGCCCAACCAAACAGGCACCGUGGUGUCCUGGAAUGCUACCACAUUGUCAUUUCUUCCUCCCCCAACUCCUCUCCCCUUUUUUGGCUGGUUGGGAUUGAACCCAGGGCCUUGUACAUGCUCGGCCACACCCUGGUCCCCACCUGGUCCUGUCACUCCUUUCCAGCACCUUUCUGGGGGCAGAUGGGGUGAAUCUUCAGAGCCCUGCAGCACGACAGCAGCCCCUGCUUAAGGCACCUGUGUCUUCUCCAUCACUCUGGUGUUCUUUCCUCACCUCAGCACAAGCCUGGGGUGGAGGCAAGGUGCCCUCAGGAUCCUGGCUCCCCACUCCACCCUGUAAUCAAAACACUGCCAUGUUACUCACGCACAACAGCAGAGCUCUCUCUGACUCAUCUCCAGGGACAGACUUUCACUUCCUGGUCAUCGUGCCUUUAAUAUGCACUCCACCUAAAAAAUCGCUAGAGCGGCGAUUCUCAACCUGUGGGUCGAGAUCCCUCUGGCAAACCUCUAUCUCCAGAUUCGUAGCAGUGGCAAAAUCACUGCAGCAAAAUGGGCACACUACAUGCUCCCCGGCCUGUCAACGCCUCCUCGGGUGUUUCCUGCAACCACCAGGGCACCGUCCUAAAGACGAAUGAGUCGGCCAUUAGCAAGUAUCACCUUCUUAGCUAAUAAAGAUGGGAAAGGUUUAAGAAGGGCCAGGUAACAAAUCAUUGCAUUUAAAAAACUUUUAAAAUCAUUGUCUGUUUUCAUCUGUGUGCACACGUGUGUGUGUGUGUGUGUGUGUGUGUGUGUGUGUGUGUGUAUGCAUGAUGUGAGUGCAGAUACCCGUGGAGGCCAAAAGAGGGCGCCAUUUCACCCUGGAACUGUACUUACAGGUGGCUGUAAGCCACCUAAUGUGGGUCCAGAGAACAGAACCCCAAGUCCUCUGCUAAAGCCACCAGUGCUCCUAACCACUGAGCCACCCCUCCAACUCCCACACAAUUAUUUCUUUAAACAUGUAACUCCUUGAAUCUCUGCUCUAUAUCCCAAAAUCAAAGAUGGAACACACGCCUACCUAUAGACACCUUUAGGUUGGGCGUGUAGCUCAGUGGCAGAGUCCUCAGCUAGUGUGGCUGAGGCCACAAUUCCUAGCACUGUCAAAAAAAAAAAAAAAAAAAGGCAAAACUGAAAGAAUAAAUAAUCCCUCGCUAUCAUCUAAGAUCGAAGGCAAGUCACUGCAAGAAGGGUAUGGCUCGGUGCUGCACCCCUGUGGCAUACAUGGGGUUUGGGGUUGAAGCUAUAGCACAAAAAAAUUAAAAACUGGUGAAGGAGGAGGAGGAGGGGGAGGAGGGAUAGGAGGAGGGAGAGGGGGAGGAAGAAGAGAAGGAGGAAGAGGAAGAAGCCUGAAGCCAGGCAGGACAGAAACUGGCCCCUCUGCACUCUCCAUUUUCUGCCUGACAGGCUAAGUCUGCCUCAACCGGUUCUGACACUCCCUGAAUGGCACCCAGGGGUGGUGACCUCAGACCAGGACAGGUGGCUGGCCAUGUGGGCACUGUUUUCCUUGACUUGAUGCGAUCUGCUGGCGUAAGGAGGCAGCCGGUGUUAAGACGUCCUUAGCUGGCUCUGGCAGUGCCAGCCUGUGACCCUGUGACGACAGAGCAGGGCGACAGCUGCCCCAGUGGAGAGCACACAUGCCAGCAUGUCCAAGGCUGCUUCUUCAAUCACCACAACCCCGAGUGUUCAAAAGUACACUCUCUGGGUUUGACCCAAUGAUCUACCUGUCUCAGCCUUCCAGGCCCCGGGUUAUACACACCACUGUGCCUGGCCCAAGACUUCCAACCCCAGCUAUACUCCUGACAGGAAGCAAAGAAGGUCAGGAGUCACAGGAACCAAAGACAUAAUGGUCAGUGGCCCCCCAGUCUGGAGUAUCUCCCAACCACUCCAUAUUGCUCGCCUGCCACAGGGAUCCAACAUCUGGGAUCCACAUGGCCUGCGGUUAUCUCCCCACUCCAAGCGCAUCCUGCCUGGUCCUUCCUUUCCUGGCCCUUAAUCUUGAUUCCUGACACAUCGUAUUUUUGUAGCCAAAACGAACCCAGAGGUUCAAGUAAAGGGAUGGUGCUAAAGGCAGGUGGGGGAGGGUGCAUGGAGGAGGAAGUCUUGGCUCACGACAGGAAGCUGGGGUUUUCCCUUGCCCUCUGUCCAGGCCACCGGGCGAUCCCACAGACAUUUUACAACAAGACACCACCAGGGUGGCCAUUCUGACAAUGAAGAACGCCGCCUUGGAUGCCACACGGGACCGUGGAUCGGCACAUACUUCAGUUUGGAAAACCGAAGCCAGAAAGCAACUUGGGGGAGCCGCCCCACAGGCCGCUGUGAACUUUCUCACUCUGGGCAGCGGGGAGAGGAGUUUGAGCCAGAGAAUGCCCCCAUCAGGGAAUCCACUCAGCCAGAAGGAAGAGUUACCUACCCCUCAGAUCACCGACCAUGAAGGACCCCAGUGCUUCUGACUUCAGUCUUGGUUCCUUUCUGUAAGGGUAUGUAUGCAUGGGGUUUCCUCCUAGGGCCUCCCGCUGUUACUCAAGACAGUCCCAGGAGACACUGGGGCCAGAAACCACCAAAUCAACAGCACAGUAAAUCCUACAGCUGCUCCCAUGUCCCUCCCCUCCCUGACUUGGAGGCUGGGAAGUCAACUGUUCUGGCUCAUAAAAUACUUCCAGAGCAUGUAUGAUCUCAGACCUCCUUCGGGUGAUCGGCGGAACAGGGCAGCAGGUGCCGGCCCGCACCCAGCUGCUGCGCCUGCCAUUUAGAUGCAGUAGCUUUCUCCAUGCAGAGGAAGAGAUGGCAUUUCGUGGCAGGGGGCCCCGAGGCAACAGACAGGAUCCCCCCAUGAAGAUGCAGAGGGCCAGGAAGCGUAAGGCUUUGCGUCUCCAUUAUGAGGAUCCGUCUCAGCAUGCUGGGUGCUCCCUCAUUUUAAUCGGUACCACCAACAAUCUGGUGACAUCCGGCAUUCUGCCUUGGUAAAGCCCUAUAAAAGUCAGAGGAAUGACUCUGGCAGGGCCAGGUGGCCAGGGUAAGUGGGAGGUUGUGGAAACUUAAUUGUGCUUGGAUUCCAACCGCUACAUUGUCUCAGUGUCCCUGUGUGGUGAUAGGCACCUGCUGGGACCAGAGUGAAGAGAUACAACCGCUACACUGUCUCAGUGUCCCUGCCUGCUGGUAGGCACCUGCUGGGAUGGGAGUGAGGGUUCAGGUCUCAAGGAAGAGCCCAGUCUGCGGCCUUAUCACCUACUUAUGUCAUAGCUGUGCAUAGUGUCAUGCACAGACCAUGUGAUCUGCAACAUUUCACCAAGUCCUUGCCCCCCUGGCUGGGCAACUGUAAGAACCCUGCUCUACUGCUGGGAUGCUAUAACUUGUAGAAGCUAGUUAUGUCUUCAGCUAGGAACAGAGGCUUGGGGCUUGGCUCCAGAAUCCACACAGCCACCCCACCGCACAGGUUACACGUGACAAAAGCCUUGGAGGACCCUGGGGGUGGGGGGUGCAGGUUCUUGCCUCUUUGACAAGCAUGCUGGGAUGUUUGGCCUAAGAAAGAGCUAUACAGUCGGACUGCUGCACAGAGGGACCGUUGAGCUGACUGCCCUUCCAGAACAGUCCUGGGGCUCCAUCCCAGCUCCUCUUGGCCGUGUCUGCUUGAGGUCAGCAGCUCUGCUCAUCUAGAUGGUACCUGGCACCAGCUGGCUCAGCCUAUAUGAGAUUUCUAGAGAAGGAGCCUGAGUGUCACCCAGAGGUCUGUGUAGGGGCAGCAGCCUUCCCUAUAGAUAUGGCACAGUGUCCAAGGCCUGAGUGUCAAGACUCUCUGCUCUGUCCCCUUAGGCCCUAUCCCUGACCACCUUGUCACCUCAAAACUACAACACUGUCAUAGCAAAGCAGCCAGAAGACCAUGGUACAGCAAAAGCAUGUGUUGGCUAAAAGGGGGGGAGGGGCAAAUCCUAGUGUGAAGGGGCAAGUCCCAGUGUGAAUUGCCAGGAGCUGCCUGGCACAUCCAUGGUAUAGACUGGAGUGUGCACACGCAGCAGAGAUCGCUACCCCAACACAUGCAGAUUAUGCAGAUUACUGGUGGCCUCUAGCCACUCUGCUACCUGUCAGCCCCAGGACCCUUCCCUGAGUUCUUGCUUGGUUUCCAAGUUUUAAAUACCUCACCCCUAACUACCUCCUUUGUCAUCAGCCUGACACCCUUCUGCCUGUGAGUCACUCACUAACAUCCCCCCAGCCGCCCUUGGAGCCAAAGAUUUGUGUAAAGUCCGCACGUCACCAGAUCCAAACCCUGCAUUUCCUGAACUGAAGACCUCACACGAAGUCAGGGGCCACUGGGGGAAAGGUUACAAGCACUGUGGGCCGCAAGGACCACGAGAGAGAGGUGUGGUGGUCCACUCCCUGGAACUCCAGGGAGACAGGGAGUUCCCGGAGUCAGCCUUGGCAACCCAGACAGACCCAGGCUCAAAUACCUCUCUCCCCAUUAACAAAACAAUGAAAAACAUUCCCGGGCUGUGGUAAUGACCCAGUGGGUAAAGGCCCUGGCCACCAAGUCCAGUGACCAGUGUUUGAUUCCUGGGAUGCACACAGUGGACAGAACAGAGUCCUGCAGGUCAUCCUCUGGCCUCCACACAUGUGUCACAGUCUAUACACACGCACACAGGCAUGCAAGCGCGCGCGCGCGCACGCGCACGCGCACGAAAUCAAAUGAAGUAAAUGUAAAUGAAGUAAAUCCCUGUGUUUGAAGUGUUGACUCCCAGAGCCUCAGAAUAUAGCACUUGGGGUUCAAGAUGGUAUCUUUAAGGUAACUGGGGUAAAAUGAAGGUCUUCAGGGUUUGCAGCCAUGACAGACUGAGGCCUGGGGCCUCCAGGACCAUGACGUAUCUAUUGGGAGAGAUGAGUCUCUAGCCACUGGCUCUAGGCAAGGCAGGUUGUCACAUACGUCUGACAAGGGCCAUUUGUCAGCCACACCUACCUGCUUCGAGGCCCCAGAAACUCAGCUCAGUUCCUUUUCCCCAUGGCCUGAGAAGUCCCUGCACCUGUAGGCACUAAGCUAAGGUCCAAAGAUGAAUGGAAGUCAGGGCCCGGUGGUGACCAGAUGGCUGAAUCAUUACUACAGGCGGCUCUCGAGACAGCAGGGACGUGAUUCAUUAACUCUCUAAAGGGAGGCUUACAGAUCCCAAGGGACUGUGUAAACAGGAAGAAUUCUCAGCUCAAACUGGAAUCCUCCAGCAAACAGAAGGCUCAGGAAUGUUUUCCAAACCGACUGCCGGACCAAAGCCCGUGCUCUACACAGCACUGGAGACUUGUUGGACUGGAGGCUGGCUGACGUCAUUGGCUAUCCCCAGGAACAGGAUCAGGCAGGAAAGAAGGCACUGAGCAAAACCGCUUGAGUCCACCAUGUAGGGAGGGGACAGUCCCCAAACAGUUUUAGGACAGGAGGAAAUUGCUAGGUUGGGUGUGGUUCAUGCUGACAGCUCAGACAGUAGAGAACCUCAGGACAAUGUGAAAAUCAGAGCCUGAAAUACCUACGCCUGGACAGAGGUCUGCGGGUUUCCUAUAUCAACUGGAGAUAAACCAGAGUUCUUUUAGAAGAGGGAAUCUCACUUGAGAAAAUGCUGCCUAUCAGACUGCCCUGUAGGAAGUCUGCAGUAUAUCUUCUUAAUUGAUUAUUGAUAUGGGAGGGCCUAGAUCAUUAUGGGUGGGGCCAUCCCUGGGCUGGUGGUCCUGGGUUCUUUAGGAAAGCAGGUUGAGCAAGCCAUGGGGAGCAAGCCAGUAAGCAACACCCCUCCAUAGCCCCUGCAUCAGUUCCUGCCUCCACGUUCCUGUCUUAAGUUCCUUCUGUUAUGGGUGCUACCUAGAAAUCUAAGAAGAAGCCUUUCCCACCCCAAGUUGCUUCAGGUUAUGGUGUUUUACCAUAGCAAUAGAAACCACCACUAAGGCAACACCUGUCCUUAGAGAGCUCCUGCCUUUCAGCCAGCUAUGGGGGACAUAGCCUCUGCUUCUCGGAGCUUUCAGAAAGCACCCUGUAAUGGUGUGAGAGGGGAAACUGAGGCACGAGUGCCCUAAGCAGAAAACACAGUGCUCUGUGGCGAGGGACGUAGGUUUCUGUUCUGAAGCGAGAAUCAGCUACAGACCUCAGCAAGACCCGGUGGCCUCACGGGUGGCCCCGAGCUGAAGGCCUCCUUCUGGAACAGAACAGGGUUGCUGUCAGAAACUUCCUGGCAUGGGACUGCAGGAUCAGAAACUUCCUGGCAUCCCGCCCCCAGCCCAGGCACUCUGGAGAGAUCGAAGAGCCCAAAGACAGCCAAGGUUGCCAUUUAGAAAUGGGCCCGCCUCUUGGCAGACACAAGCAAGCCACCCUACCCCAUUCACUCCCUUUUGCAGGUGACGGAUAUUCUCCUGAAGGGGUGUCCCCUAAAACUCAUUUGCCUCUCCCUCUCCCUCCCCCCCUCUCCCUCCUCCUCCCCCUUCCCCUCCACCCCGCUUCUCUCUUUCUCUCCCCAGAGCAGCUCCAAAGUGGUAUGAGAGGAACAAGCAGAGAGGGCUCUGGCCACUGGCUGUGUGACCCUGGCCAAGUCAGGUCACCUCUCGGAGGUUGAUCCCUCCUCUGUAAAAUACAGGGAGCAGUAACUGUCUUGAGGUCACAUGACAAGCUUGGCUUCUGCCAGGCCCCGGGGUUGAAACCUCAAGACAGCAAAUAAAUGAACUCAGAUAAAAAUAACAACCAACCCUCCGCCCAUGCGUGUUAAGAGCUGGUGAAGAAGAGAGAAAAAAAAAAAAAAAAAAAAAACGAAGGUGGAGGAAGGAGAGGGAGGACUUUGAGGAAGAAGAAAAAAGGAAGGAGAAGGGAAGAAAGUUUAGUCAGGCAGGCCCGAGUUCAGAUCUUUCUGCACUCACUAGCUGGCUGUGUGGCCUUGGGAAACUUACUCAACCUCUCUGGCCCUCAAGUUUCCUCCUUUGUAAAACAUGAAAGAUACGGCCUUCUGUGGAGGAGCUCUUGGAAAGAGAGCUGGUUGACACCGGGAGUCAGAGCCAGAAGGUUCUGCAAGCCUGCACGGCCCUUAGGAGAAAUAGGACUCUCUUCCCUGCCUGAUCCUCUGGGGCCACCCAGCACAGCCUCUUGGGGAUGGCGGUGAGCGUGAGGGGGCAGCAGCUGUGAUGUGCAGGGAGUCAGCCCCUCCAGCAUCCUCACUGUGGAACACUGUUCUCCUUCAUUUCCUUCCCAGGGAGCCUCUGAGAUUCCCAAAGACUAACUGUGGACAAAGGAGAUGGGGGUGCCAGGUUCAACACUACUCGGUCCAUGGCAUCUUCCCCCAUGGGUGUGGGCUGCAUGGCAUCCUCUGACCCUCCACCCUGGCAGGCUGUCUGCACUCACCAGGACACCCUGAAGCCCUGUUCCCAAACUUCUCUAGACCCUCCGCAAAGGUGAGUUAUUUUGAGCCUCUCCUGAACCCUCAUCCAGAGCAAAUGAAGACAUGGUUUCGGGAUGGGGACCAGGAAGGGUUUUAAGGCUUCUCCCUCUGCCAGAAAGACACUUAAAAACGCGUACAGCUCGUCUCCUCUCUCGGGUUUACUCCGGAGCAGGCGUCAAUUCCCAGAAAGACGACGUGAAACCCUGAAGCCCUGAUCAAUACACCACGAGGCUCGACACCACGAGGCUCGCCCUCCACCCCAUUCUGAGGCAUUGGAGAGAGCAGCUCAUCUCGACUCAGAGAGAUGUUUUCAUUAACAAAGACCGAGGCCUGCCUGAGGUCUCCUGGCACAGCGUCAAAGCUGUGUCAGAAGAGAGGGUGCGGGGUUGGGGAUUUGGCUCAGUGGCAGAGCGCUUGCCUAGGAAGCGCAAGGCCCUGGGUUCGGUCCCCAGCUCCGAAAAAAAAAAAAAAAAAAAAAAAAAAAAGAA